GACUUAGUGGCCUGGAUGUAGGCAGCUAGUACCGUUUGAGAUGGCCUAGAGUGGGCCUGGCAUGAGUCUGGCAAAUAUGACACAAACUUCUGAAUCAGGAGCUGUGGACUAUAGGAUACCCCAGAACUUCUAAAAAGACAGUGGGUAAGUAUGUUGAAGAAACUAAAACCCAUCCUCGAUUCUCAGAUGUUUUGACCCAUGAGAGUCAACAGGGCUUUUGUUUCUAAACCAUUCAUGUGCUUUUAAAAUGCCAACCAUAACCUUUAUUUCUUGUUUGACAAGAUGCCACUAUUAAUUUUCUCAGAGUUGGGUAAAAAAAAAUCCUGCAUCUGGAUUAAUUCUCUUCUGACAACCACCUUCUUGCUUUCUCUAUUUUUUUAUUACUUUUUUUCACUGGUAGUCAAGCCUUGCUGCCAAAUUAAAGCAUGAAUUUCUUGUAUGAAUGCUGAGGUAUGCGGAUACACAGAGACAACCUGGUAUAGGCAGGGAUGAAGCUCUGAGCCAAAUGUGUUGCCUUCCUCACACGUAAAUAAUUUUCUGGUUUUUAAUUAAGCAGUUCUUUUGGGGAGUAUCUUGAGGUAGCGAUGCACAGGUUAUUCUGGGAAAGUGUUGGCAUUUCAAAACAGAUGGUGCAAGUUUGUCCAUGUUUUGUUUUUAGUUCUGCCUUUUAGCUUGCUCAUUCUCAAGACUGUUUCUACAUUUCUGAUUGUAGAGAUGUCUGUGGCAGGUCUAAAAGCAGUAGCUCAAUUUCCAGGACUAGGCUAGCUUGAAGUCUCUGGACUGCUGUGACCCACUGAGAAACUGUUCCUGGUAUCUGUGCUUGGUCUAGGCACAGAGCACAGAAGUUGCAGAAGCAAAGUAUCUGAGCAGCCCUUGCCAUGAACUGCACUGUUGCGCUGUGUGUCGGAGGUGUUUAAGGGUUGACAGAGUAAUCAGAGAGAUCAGGAAAUCUGUCUAAGUCCUGACCAACAGACACCAGUUCUCUGAUGCAGAACGAGAGACUGAAGUCUCCAAGCAUGGGUGAGCAUGGCAUGAGGAUGCUCAGUCUGGUAGGUAGAUAGUAAUGCAGCAGAUGAAUGUGCAUCAAUAACUUCGGGGGAAAAGGAAACUAGUGUUUCUGUGUUGACUGAAAGUGAUACAAAUCUAAAAAGGACUGGAGGUUAAGGUCAAAUUCAGACACUCUGUGCAGAUAUUGGGACCCACACUAUAUAAUGCCACAUAUCUACUAAUGGUCUUACUGACGUAGGUACUGAAGCCUAAACUUUGUCCAGUUCUGGGCUCCCCAGUUCAAGGGAGACAGGGAACUACUAGAGAGAGUCCAGCAGAGGGCAACAAAGAUGACUGGGGGAUUGGAGCGUCUCUGUUAUAAAAAAAGGCUGAGAGAGCUGGGACUGUUUAGCCUGGAGAAGAGAAAGAGAAACUUCUGGUGUCACUCAAGCUGCCAGAGGUCAGAGGAGAGCCUGCGUGGCUGUUGGCUGAAGUCUUCAUCUAGAGGUGACUCCUGUCUGAUGCAGAGGCAACGGAGGCAGCCAGAAGUGACUGGGCAAAAGCAGUUCCUGGAGGAUGCACCCCCCCCCGAACCAAGAUGGAGAGUGGGUUAGCUGACUCAUUAGUGGGCAUUUGGAUAAACUGUACAGAGAACUUCAGGCCCUGAAACACAAGAGAAGAAGAAGGAAACACGCUGAUAUGAUUUAACUUCAGUCAUAACUCAGACAACCAAAAUGUAACAGAAAAACAAAGUCAAGAAGAAACGCCAGCAGCUACUGAUAAAAUUCAACUGUAGCUGCCAGUGUAAAAAAAAAAAAGAUGUAAUAAGUCCAAACGUUCAGAAGAAAAAAGGAUGAAAUGCAGCAAAACGAUCGUGUUUUCUGCAUCUGGUCAA